rnacentral:lncRNA from 1 species
AAAGAAACGAAAAACAAAACAUAAAUCAUGGAUCAAUUAAGCCCUCUCGGGGACUUGCUUAAGAAUGAGAAAGAGGAAUCUUAUGUAAAUACCACAGAAUAAGGUUUGGUCCUAUUCAUGGGGAUUCUGUAACUAUUCCAUUCCAAAAAGAUAAAAAAUUCAAAAGAAUUGGGAUUUUUUGGAGAUUGGAUGCAGUUACUAAUUCAUGAA